rnacentral:rRNA from 1 species
UACGGGGGGGGCAAGCGUUGUUCGGAAUUACUGGGCGUAAAGGGCUCGUAGGCGGCCAACUAAGUCGGAUGUGAAAUCCCCAGGAUUAACCUGGGAACUGCAUCCGAUACUGGAUGGCUUGAAUCCGGGAGAGGGAUGCGGAAUUCCAGGUGUAGCGGUGAAAUGCGUAGAUAUCUGGAGGAACACCGGUGGCGAAGGCGGCAUCCUGGACCGGCAUUGACGCUGAGGAGCGAAAGCCAGGGGAGCAAACGGG